rnacentral:rRNA from 1 species
AUGAACGCUAGCUACAGGCUUAACACAUGCAAGUCGAGGGGCAGCAUGGUCUUAGCUUGCUAAGGCUGAUGGCGACCGGCGCACGGGUGAGUAACACGUAUCCAACCUGCCGUCUACUCUUGGCCAGCCUUCUGAAAGGAAGAUUAAUCCAGGAUGGCAUCAUGAGUUCACAUGUCCGCAUGAUUAAAGGUAUUUUCCGGUAGACGAUGGGGAUGCGUUCCAUUAGAUAGUAGGCGGGGUAACGGCCCACCUAGUCAACGAUGGAUAGGGGUUCUGAGAGGAAGGUCCCCCACAUUGGAACUGAGACACGGUCCAAACUCCUACGGGAGGCAGCAGUGAGGAAUAUUGGUCAAUGGGCGAUGGCCUGAACCAGCCAAGUAGCGUGAAGGAUGACUGCCCUAUGGGUUGUAAACUUCUUUUAUAAAGGAAUAAAGUCGGGUAUGCAUACCCGUUUGCAUGUACUUUAUGAAUAAGGAUCGGCUAACUCCGUGCCAGCAGCCGCGGUAAUACGGAGGAUCCGAGCGUUAUCCGGAUUUAUUGGGUUUAAAGGGAGCGUAGAUGGAUGUUUAAGUCAGUUGUGAAAGUUUGCGGCUCAACCGUAAAAUUGCAGUUGAUACUGGAUGUCUUGAGUGCAGUUGAGGCAGGCGGAAUUCGUGGUGUAGCGGUGAAAUGCUUAGAUAUCACGAAGAACUCCGAUUGCGAAGGCAGCCUGCUAAGCUGCAACUGACAUUGAGGCUCGAAAGUGUGGGUAUCAAACAGGAUUAGAUACCCUGGUAGUCCACACGGUAAACGAUGAAUACUCGCUGUUUGCGAUAUACGGCAAGCGGCCAAGCGAAAGCGUUAAGUAUUCCACCUGGGGAGUACGCCGGCAACGGUGAAACUCAAAGGAAUUGACGGGGGCCCGCACAAGCGGAGGAACAUGUGGUUUAAUUCGAUGAUACGCGAGGAACCUUACCCGGGCUUGAAAGUUAGUGACGGAUGCCGAAAGGUGUCUUCCCUUCGGGGCACGAAACUAGGUGCUGCAUGGUUGUCGUCAGCUCGUGCCGUGAGGUGUCGGGUUAAGUCCCAUAACGAGCGCAACCCCUAUCGUUAGUUACCAGCACGUGAAGGUGGGGACUCUAACGAGACUGCCGGUGUAAGCCGAGAGGAGGGUGGGGAUGACGUCAAAUCAGCACGGCCCUUACGUCCGGGGCUACACACGUGUUACAAUGGGGGGUACAGAGGGCCGCUACCACGCGAGUGGAUGCCAAUCCCUAAAACCCCUCUCAGUUCGGACUGGAGUCUGCAACCCGACUCCACGAAGCUGGAUUCGCUAGUAAUCGCGCAUCAGCCACGGCGCGGUGAAUACGUUCCCGGGCCUUGUACACACCGCCCGUCAAGCCAUGGGAGCCGGGGGUACCUGAAGUGCGUAACCGCGAGGAUCGCCCUAGGGUAAAACUGGUGACUGGGGCU